GAUGAACGCUGGCGGCAUGCCUAAUACAUGCAAGUCGAGCGGACAGACGAGGACCUUGCCUGUCUGACGUUAGCGGCGGACGUGAUACAAACACGCGGACACCCUACCUAUAAAACUGGGAUCACUUCGGGAACUCGUACCUAAUACCGGCUAAUAUAUAGAACCGCAUGGCUCCAUAGCGAACGACGGUGUUGCUGUCGCUUGUAGAUGGGGCCGCGCCGCAUUAGCUAGUUGGUAAGGUAACGGCUUACCAAGGCAACGAUGCGUAGCCGGCCUGAGAGGAUGAUCAGCCACACUGGGACUGAGACACGGCCCAGACUCCUACGGGAGGCAGCAGUGGGGAAUCUUCCGCAAUGGGCGAAAGCCUGACGGAGCAACGCCGCGUGAAUGAUGAAGGUCUUCGGAUUGUAAACUGCUGUUAUUAGGAAAGAACAGCUGUGUAAGUAUAAAGGGGCGUCAUGACGGUACCGAAUCAAAAAGCAACGGCUAACUACGUG
rnacentral:rRNA from 1 species